AUUGAACGCUGGCGGCAGGCUUAACACAUGCAAGUCGAGCGGGGAAGGGUAGCUUGCUACCUAACCUAGCGGCGGACGGGUGAGUAAUGCUUAGGAAUCUGCCAUUUAGUGGGGGACAACAUUCCGAAAGGAAUGCUAAUACCGCAUGCGUCCUACGGGAGAAAGCAGGGGAUCUUCGGACCUUGCGCUAAUAGAUGAGCCUAAGUCGGAUUAGCUAGUUGGUGGGGUAAAGGCCUACCAAGGCGACGAUCUGUAGCGGGUCUGAGAGGAUGAUCCGCCACACUGGGACUGAGACACGGCCCAGACUCCUACGGGAGGCAGCAGUGGGGAAUAUUGGACAAUGGGGGGAACCCUGAUCCAGCCAUGCCGCGUGUGUGAAGAAGGCCUUAUGGUUGUAAAGCACUUUAAGCGAGGAGGAGGCUACUGAGACUAAUACUCUUGGAUAGUGGACGUUGCUCGCAGAAUAAGCCCGGCUAACUCUGUGCCAGCCGCCGCCGUAA
rnacentral:rRNA from 1 species